rnacentral:rRNA from 1 species
UACGGGGGGAGCAAGCGUUGGUUCGGAUUUACUGGGCGUAAAGGGCGCGUAGGCGGCGUAACAAGUCACUUGUGAAAUCUCCGGGCUUAACUCGGAGCGGUCAAGUGAUACUGUUGUGCUAGAGUGCGGAAGGGGCUACUGGAAUUCUCGGUGUAGCGGUGAAAUGCGUAGAUAUCGAGAGGAACACCUGCGGCGAAGGCGGGUAGCUGGGCCGACACUGACGCUGAAGCGCGAAAGCUAGGGGAGCGAACGGG